UACGUAGGGACCAAGCGUUGUUCGGAUUUACUGGGCGUAAAGCGCGCGCAGGCGGCUCUUUAAGUAUGGCGUGAAAUCUCCCUGCUCAACGGGGAGGGUGCGUUGUAGACUGAGGAGCUUGAGGUCGGUAGAGGGGGUGGAAUUGCUGGUGUAGCGGUGAAAUGCGUAGAGAUCAGCAGGAACACCCGUGGCGAAGGCGGCCCCCUGGGCCGUACCUGACGCUGAGGCGCGAAGGCUAGGGAGCGACCCGG
rnacentral:rRNA from 1 species